AUGUCCCCACGGCGCUGGCAGGUGUGGGGUGGCAGGAGCGGCUGUGCUGGAGAGGGGAAAGGGCGCUGUGUUGUAACCGCGGGGAGGGCCAGCGCUGGGACGGGCUCUGGCGCAGCCCAGUACCGCCACCGAGGAAGCGGGCGGCCGCCGGCGCUUGCCUGGCUGGUGACACAGGGACAUGGAGGCGAAGGCUGGAGGGACAUGGUCCUCACUGGAGCUGCUGGAGGUGCACCAGGACUGUACACCCCCGGACAGCAAGACCCAGGCAAAGCCAGCGUGCCAGCACAAAGCCGGCACCCCCCACGAGCAAACCAGCACUACCCCCAGCUCCCACCACCCGGCGUGCAGGAGGGCUGGCUCCUGGGGCACGGGGAAGUGCUGAGCCAGGCAUUGUGCCUUUGUGAAAAGGCACUGCGCCCCUUUGCAGGGAGGUACUCAAGGGCUGUGCACGGCACUGGGCGUGCAGGAGGCUGGGGACGG
rnacentral:lncRNA from 1 species